GAUGAACGCUGGCGGCGUGCCUAAUACAUGCAAGUAGAACGCUGAAGCUUGGUGCUUGCACCGAGCGGAUGAGUUGCGAACGGGUGAGUAACACGUAGGCAACCUGCCUGGUAGCGGGGGAUAACUAUUGGAAACGAUAGCUAAUACCGCAUAACAGUCGACAUUGCAUGAUGUUGAUUUGAAAGGGGCAAUUGCUCCACUACCAGAUGGACCUGCGUUGUAUUAGCUAGUUGGUGAGGUAACGGCUCACCAAGGCGACGAUACAUAGCCGACCUGAGAGGGUGAUCGGCCACACUGGGACUGAGACACGGCCCAGACUCCUACGGGAGGCAGCAGUAGGGAAUCUUCGGCAAUGGGGGCAACCCUGACCGAGCAACGCCGCGUGAGUGAAGAAGGUUUUCGGAUCGUAAAGCUCUGUUGUAAGAGAAGAACGAGUGUGAGAGUGGAAAGUUCAC
rnacentral:rRNA from 1 species